AUUGAACGCUGGCGGAAUGCUUUACACAUGCAAGUCGGGCGGCAGCGCGGGGGCAACCCUGGCGGCGAGCGGCGAACGGGUGAGUAACACAUCGGAACGUACCCUGUCGUGGGGGAUAACGAAUCGAAAGAUUCGCUAAUACCGCAUACGACCUGAGGGUGAAAGCGGGGGAUCGCAAGACCUCGCGCGAGAGGAGCGGCCGAUGGCGGAUUAGCUAGUUGGUGGGGUAAAGGCCCACCAAGGCGACGAUCCGUAGCGGGUCUGAGAGGACGGCCCGCCACACUGGGACUGAGACACGGCCCAGACUCCUACGGGAGGCAGCAGUGGGGAAUUUUGGACAAUGGGGGCAACCCUGAUCCAGCCAUUCCGCGUGAGUGAAGAAGGCCUUCAGGUUGUAAAGCUCUUUCAGCAGGAACGAAACGGUGGCCAUUAAUACUGGCUACUAAUGACGGUACCUGAAGAAGAAGCACCGGCUAACUACGUGCCAGCAGCCGCGGUAAU
rnacentral:rRNA from 1 species